rnacentral:rRNA from 1 species
GACGAACGCUGGCGGCGUGCUUAACACAUGCAAGUCGUACGGUAAGGCCCUUUCGGGGGUACACGAGUGGCGCACGGGUGAGUAACACGUGAGUAACCUGCCCACAACUUUGGGAUAACGCUAGGAAACUGGUGCUAAUACUGGAUAUGUGCUCCUGCUGCAUGGUGGGGGUUGGAAAGCUCCGGCGGUUGUGGAUGGACUCGCGGCCUAUCAGCUUGUUGGUGGGGUAGUGGCCUACCAAGGCGGCGACGGGUAGCCGGCCUGAGAGGGUGACCGGCCACAUUGGGACUGAGAUACGGCCCAGACUCCUACGGGAGGCAGCAGUGGGGAAUAUUGCACAAUGGGCGCAAGCCUGAUGCAGCAACGCCGCGUGCGGGAUGACGGCCUUCGGGUUGUAAACCGCUUUCAGCAGGGACGAAGCUUUUUGUGACGGUACCUGCAGAGGAAGCACCGGCUAACUACGUG